rnacentral:rRNA from 1 species
UACAUGGGGUGCAAACGUUGCUCGGAAUCAUUGGGCGUAAAGCGCGCGUAGGCGGUUACUUAUGUCGGAUGUGAAAGCCCUCGGCUUAACUGAGGAAGUGCAUUCGAAACUGGGUAGCUAGAGUACUAAAGAGGGUCGCGGAAUUCCCGGUGUAGAGGUGAAAUUCGUAGAUAUCGGGAGGAACACCAGUGGCGAAGGCGGCGAUCUGGGUUGAUACUGACGCUGAGGUGCGAAAGCGUGGGGAGCAAACAGG